GGUCGCCAUUUUGCAUUCGCUAUCAAACUUUUUUUUCCCUCCAAAACGGGAAUGUGCGGUAAUGAGGAGCACCAACGCCCCAGGAUUAUUUUUUUUAACAUGGAAAUAGUAGAUUGCUUAUCAUCUUUGCUUAUAAAUCUGUAAUCUUCACAAGUUUAUAUAUGACAUGAACUAGCACCAGGAUUCUGAAAGGACGGGCGUGUAACUAGAGUUGCUGCCAGUUAGAUGCUCGCUGUCCCCCUCCUCAGCUACAGUACCGUAAAAACGAUGCUUUUCACCAGGAUGGAUACCAUCGAGUGCAUGACAGAUUGUCACCAUACCGGUAAAACAACGCAAAGCUCAUAACCUAACCAUGGUGUAAGGCAGUAUUUUGGAGAGCACUGUCACUCCUAACACACAUUCUUGAUAAUUAUCAAUGGUACAUGGUACAGGUUUUCAAACACAUAAUUUAGAACAAAUAUGUGAAACCCCACGUAUACUGAGCAAGCAUUAAGAUAAUAGAACCUAAGCUUCUAUUGUGCUAUGGCACCUCUAAAGCGCCAUAUCCCUUGGUAAGUAAAGUUCUAUGCCUAUUUCCUAUAAAAUGAGAACAGUACCUACUUCACAGGGUUGUUGAUGAGUUGAGCAUACCAUUUUAAAAAAAAAGUAGCCCUGACUGGUGUGGCUUAGUGGGUUGAACAAUCUCCUGCAAGCCAAAAGGUGGCAGGUUCAAUUUCCAGUCAGGGCAUAUGCUUGGGUUGUGGGCCAGGUCCCCAGGAACACGCAGCCCAUCUAUGUUUCUCUCCCUGCCUUUAAAAAUAAACUUUAAAAUGUUUAAAAAAGAAAAAAAUGAUUCUGGUUUUAAUACCUGUGAUGAAGGUAGGGCAGGGGGAAAAUUCACUGAACAUUCGGGAAGCUAACAAACACCAGCAUAUUUGGUCAUGUGGUAUUCCAUUAGUGCCAUACCACAGAUGGAGAUUUUUGGAUAAUGCUCACAAAGGGGCAUUACUGCAUUGACUGUCCACACUCCACUGGGUGAGCACUGGGCCCAGCAAUCCCAGAGGAUAGACAUGUUAUCAGAUGUGGGAGCUUUGUCAUAACUUUUUCAGUGCUUAAACUUUUUCUUAAUUCUCAAAAGGGAAUCUUGGAGGUGAUCUAGCCCAACCCCUUCAUUUAACACCUGAAGACGCAUCUCAGCCAACACUGUUUGAUAGUAGAGCCAGGGCUGAUGUCCAGGUUUUCUGACUGCCCUCUACUCCUCUGUACAACUGUCCUGCAAUGUUAUUCAAUCCUGGUUAUUGUUUCCACUAUGGGAAACUUGUUUUAGGUGCCACAGUAUAAUGAAGAUACAUGUACGUACACACGUCAGCUAAAGUUACCACUGAGCCCACUGAUGCUCAGGCAAGAGCACAGGUCCUUUCAAGAGGCCAUGCCUACAAUUCUUUGAUAAGCUUAGUGCUUUUAACAUGACUGGAACCUUGCUCUCACAUAUUCAGGCAAUGCUGUCCCCGUGGCAAGAUUUGUAUGUAGAAAUCCUUAUCAACCAAUAUUCCACUUCAGAAAUCUCAAAGCUGUACCCUUCUAUGGUUGGGAACAAACACCGAGUCUCAUCACACAACAUUCAUUCUUUACAUAUACAAACUCUAGUGUAAAUCCUUAGUACCCGCCUUGAACAGCUCUCCAGAUAGCUUUUCCCAUGCUCACAUCAGCAGCUCCACUGCCUCUGAUCCUUUUACAUGAAUUUAUUUCUAUACAAGGUUCUAAA